UUGUUCAUUUGGUCUAAAACUCUCAAGUCUCGAGCAGAGUUUCUCUUUGGGUCACCCACUCACCCCUUCUCCAUCACUCUUCUGCUCUAGCUGUUUCUUUCCCUCAUCUGAUCUAUGAACGAGGAACUAGUGUAGCUUUUGGGUACUCAAAUCCAAAAGCCCCAAUUACAUUUUUUGUUCUCUUUACUCGCUAGGUCACCCGUUUGUCCAACCCUAGAAUCGUAGAAAACUAGAUUAGUUGCAGUAGCCAUGGCCAUCACUGCCAUGGACCCAAAAGCCGUGAAAUCGGACUUGGUCCUCAUCCUCGACUACGGCUCCCAUACACCCACCUCAUCACUCGCUGCAUCCGAUCCCUCUCCGUCUUCUCCCUCACCAUCUCCUGCACCAGCCCCCUCAAGGCCAUCACCGACCUCAACCCCAGCGUUGUCAUCCUCUCCGGCAGUCCCCACUCCGUCCACACCGAUGACUCCCCCAGCUUCCCCCCCCGGGUUCACCGAGUGGGCCGAGGCCCACAGCUUCUUCGUCCUCGGAAUCUGCUACGGCUUGCAGCUGAUUGUGCAGAGGCUUGGCUGGGUGGUUAGGGUUGGGGAGAAGCAGGAGUAUGGCAAGAUGGAGAUUGUGGUGGAGAGCAAUUCAGGGAUUUUCGGGGUCCAAGAGGGUUGGGGAUAGGCAGAUGGUGUGGAUGAGCCAUGGGGAUGAGGUGGCUAAGUUGGCCCAGGGGUUCCGGGUGAUGGCGCAGAGCCAGCAAGGAGUGGUGGCCGCCAUUGAAAGCCCUGAAAGGAGGUUCUAUGGGCUGCUGUACCACCCUGAGGUAUUAUUUCAAUGGACUUGUUAUCAUGUGCUUUCAACAUUUUUGUUAUGUAUGUUGCUGAAUUGGACUUUGAUGAAACCCGCAAUGUUUGGAAUGACUUCAUAUCUAGUAAAUAUGAAUGGUUUUUGGUUCUUUCUAAUUUCCCACAGAAAAAGUCAUGUAGUAGAAGUCUCUGUUUCUAUUUCAAAGUGUGUCACCUUUUGUGUGGUAUAAUGUGAUGGAAAAGAAUGUUAGCAGUUGCUUUAAUGUUGAAUGUUUGUUUCUUUUAAGUUUUCCUUGAUUGAAAAUUUCAAUUGUUAUUAGCAAUUAUAACUGCUUUAGUUUAUGAGAUUCGUAAAUAGGGAAUAGGGAAAGAGUGGGUUUUAGGAAGAGAAAUGGGUCAGGGGAAUAUUUUUCUUUCGAGACAAUUGUCAAGGACUGGACUCAUUUUCCCCUUCUGUAAAGGUCACAAGGUAACAAAUUAACUUUGUUUCUCUUUUGUCUUUGCUCUAUUUAAUUUGUAAUUUAUCAAAUAGAUAGUAUAUAAUCGUGGGUCUCAAAUUUAUAGAAGACCUGUUUUAGGUCUUGUUCUUGAAAAGAACACAAAGACGUAUGAAGGGAAAAGGGCGAGGGGUGGCGACGGAGAGAGAUAGAGUAAAGAACUAAAGGAGAAAUAUUAAAGCUCCAGCAACACAUCUGAUAAUCUCAAAAAUGAUAGUUUUGUAAUUGCCAGAAUGUGUCAACUCCUAUAAUGUAUGUCCUUCCUCUGAGUUGGGAUUUCGGGCUUCGAUAAACCUAAAGACCUGUAAGUUGAGGAACUCAUUACACUAUUAUCUUAAAUUGAGUGAGUGAUGCUUGUCCCAUCUAGAUUAGAUUGAUAGGAGAAGGUGGAUUCCCUCUCCUGUAAUCUGCAGAUGAAGUGUACACCCUCUCUCUAGUCGAGUUUCCUACCAAAAGAAGUUUGCUGAGCUUGUUGUUAAACUUCCUUUCACAAGUUACUCCAGACACUGCGUUGUAGAUUCAAUGCCAUGCAUCCUUGUUAAACUUCUUUUAUGUAUCCCUUUCAAUUAUACUUGCUACCUGGUUUGACUAUUACAUUUUACUUUGAGAUUAUUUGUUAUUAUUUUGGAAUAGCCUACUCUUGAGCUUAUAUCUCUAGACUUGCUAUGAUUGUGUUUGUUUCCUUUUCCUUUAGAAGAACCAGCCAUGUUUCACAUUUCUAUCAACUCGACUGUAAAACUGCAAGUAUGCUGCAUUAUCAAAAGAAGAGUGGGAAGAACAAUUCGCAAGUAUGCUGCAUUAUCAAAAGAAGAGUGGGAAGAACAAUUCAAGCUAUGGCCAACAUCUUAUCAUUCACCAACCCAAUAAGCUCCCAUUCUUGUAUAGUACGUAAUGUCCUGCAUUUUUUUGCAGAUAGUGAGUUCAAUCAUUGGUGUUAAGGGGUCUUAAGUAUUUUCCUUUAUAGGAUUAGGGUGAUGAGGAGGUGAAAGAUAUCUCAGUAAGGAUCAAAAGUCAUCAUUGAUUCUGUUCCUAAUCAUAAAUGACAGAACAGGUUCAUUUUAUAAUUACUACUUACUAAAAUGUUGGGUUACACUCCUACAGUUAAAUGUAUCUAUAGCAGGAUGUUUCACUACUAUGUACUUGAACUGUUGCUCGACAAUUUUAUAUACAGGAAGUUAAGCUAAUAGUGACAUUGUUUGUUGGUUGAAUAUUAUUUUGGAUGUCACAAGGUCCUUUCAGUGCGGCUUUCGCUUCUUUCUUCAUCUACCUCAUUCAACUUCAGAAUUGAAGAAUGAGCUGCAAGUAGAAAGAAGGCAAGCCUUUGCUUUUGUUCUUUUCUAGAUAUAUGUUCCCAAACUAUAAUCAAAUCUAUUAUGUACGAGCUACUGUAUAUUUGUAAAGUACUUAUGGAUGUCAAUACUUCAUUGCUUUCAUGUUAUCCAAAAUAGUAGGCCUUUCUGUGGGCUUUAAACCCUAAUUUUUUUAGGUAAAUUAAAGAGAAAUUAAUCCCAAAGUUAACAAGAAUAUGUAAACCAAAACCAUAUCCUAUAUGAGGGCUAGUUCUGCAAUCCUCAAAUAAGCAUAUUUUAAAUAAUUAUUGUUACAUCAUCCCUGACAAUUGGUUUCUUUGUCCUCUACCAUACAGUAAUAUUGAUGGCAUUAUUGAAUCUGGUGAAGAAGACUUGGUCAGUGCUCAGCUUCAUGAAGUAUGUUAUUCAGUUAGUUAAGUGUCGUGAAAAUAUGGAAGUCAUGCUGCAGUUAUAGUAGAAAUUUUGACAAUUAUGGCUUGUUGCAGUCUUGGGCUUAGCUUGAAUACUAGUAAUUUUAGUUUGAAGAAACCCCUUGUAAACUCAUUACCAACUGGGGCUUUGGUGGAAGGCUUCCCUAUGUUUGGUUCCAAAAGCAACAACAUUAUUCGAAAGGGAAGGUAUGGUGCUUGGACCCCAAAUAGACUAAACAGUUAAUUUGAUUGGAAAUUAAUCUGUCUUUGUUUUCUUGAUUUGAAAUCUUAUUUGUUUUUCAGUUGAACUAAUAGAAGCAUUUUGUUUUGUUUUGUUUUUGGGUUCUUCAUUUCAUGUAAAGUUUCUGGUACCCUGAAUUCUAAUUAUAUUGAUUGGAGAUGCCUUAUUUAAUUUCAGAUUAUUCUGUUAAUCACUUGAUGCUUGUUUCUUCAUAUGUAUUGAGUAGUUUCUGGUCCAAAAUCAAGUAUUUACAGUCCCACAUAUUAGAAUAUAAAACAUAAAUUACACAGAGCUUGGUAUGGUAUGAAAUUUUGGGCACAUCAGGUUAUCAAAGUAUGGUUAUGAUGUUAAUUUGCUUCUGUAUAUAUGCGACUGCUCUCUUUGACAUAAGUUGACAAGUUUUGAUCAGAGACUGUGCAAAAUGUAACUAUAUUGUCAUGUGUUUUGAGCCCAAGGCCUUGAUUAUGGCUCAAAUUCAAGGUACAUAAAACACAUUGAGAGCUGAUAGACGAUAUUGGGUCUUAGUGCUCAAAACAUUUGUUCUUCAUUUGCAUAUGUAAAUAUCUGGUUAGAUUUCACUGUCAUGGAACAACAGUUGCUGCAAUUAAUGUUUGGUUCUCAUUCAAAAAUGCAUCAAGCAUGCCCAUGUUUUGUUCUUUUGAUGAUAUCAUUAGCCUGAUAAUUGUUUGGGUUUUGCUUUAUACCUUGUAGUUUCAGCAUAUGCAGUGAAAAAUUCUAUGCAAACUCUGAAGGCAAGUGAUUGGCAUCUUGAAGGAGCUAGGAGCAUUUAAUAUAUUCUACAGCCAAGCCACGGGAGGAGAAGAAAAAACAAAUGCCAUGCUCUAGAGUACACUGUAAAUUAUUUUGCUAGUCAGCUUCAAUAGUUAGGUCUCAUGGAACAACUAAUGACUAUUGUAAUGAUAUUGGAGUUUUCAAAAUGAAUGAGAACAUCAAAGAAU